AGGGAGGUGGUGCUGAAGGCCCACAGCUCCACGAGGAGGUGGCUGAACACCCCGGUGACCCACAUCACCAGCUUCCAGAUGAAGAGGUUCAGGAAAUUCAUCAGGGACAAGGAGCAAGCAGUCACGUCCACAUGUGAUGCUUCUUUGUGGCCUGGUGAUGAAUCUGAGCUGAUUGCUGCAAGCCAGACAGUGGAGGACCUGCUCCACAGCCAGUCUCGGUCCGCAGAGACGCAGUC